rnacentral:misc_RNA from 1 species
AACGGUCUAUACCUGCGGUACCUGCGGAGGGAUCAUUAUCGAGUGUUGCUCCCUGAAAAUGGGGGCUCCUCCCGUCCUUUGCCGGCCCAUUGGGCUUUCGACUUCUGCUUCGGCGGGGUUACCCGCCGGAACACAUUCAAAAACCUCUUUGUUAAACCGUUCUGUCCGAGCUCUUAAAAAAUGAGCGAAAAACUUUCAACAAUGGAUCUCU